AAAUUGAAGAGUUUGAUCAUGGCUCAGAUUGAACGCUGGCGGCAGGCCUAACACAUGCAAGUCGAACGGUAGCACAGAGAGCUUGCUCUCGGGUGACGAGUGGCGGACGGGUGAGUAAUGUCUGGGAAACUGCCCGAUGGAGGGGGAUAACUACUGGAAACGGUAGCUAAUACCGCAUAACGUCGCAAGACCAAAGUGGGGGACCUUCGGGCCUCACACCAUCGGAUGUGCCCAGAUGGGAUUAGCUAGUAGGUGGGGUAACGGCUCACCUAGGCGACGAUCCCUAGCUGGUCUGAGAGGAUGACCAGCCACACUGGAACUGAGACACGGUCCAGACUCCUACGGGAGGCAGCAGUGGGGAAUAUUGCACAAUGGGCGCAAGCCUGAUGCAGCCAUGCCGCGUGUAUGAAGAAGGCCUUCGGGUUGUAAAGUACUUUCAGCGAGGAGGAAGGCGUUGUGGUUAAUAACCACAGCGAUUGACGUUACUCGCAGAAGAAGCACCGGCUAACUCCGUGCCAGCAGCCGCGGUAAUACGGAGGGUGCAAGCGUUAAUCGGAAUUACUGGGCGUAAAGCGCACGCAGGCGGUUUGUUAAGUCAGAUGUGAAAUCCCCGGGCUCAACCUGGGAACUGCAUUUGAAACUGGCAAGCUUGAGUCUCGUAGAGGGGGGUAGAAUUCCAGGUGUAGCGGUGAAAUGCGUAGAGAUCUGGAGGAAUACCGGUGGCGAAGGCGGCCCCCUGGACAAAGACUGACGCUCAGGUGCGAAAGCGUGGGGAGCAAACAGGAUUAGAUACCCUGGUAGUCCACGCCGUAAACGAUGUCUACUUGGAGGUUGUGCCCUUGAGGCGUGGCUUCCGGAGCUAACGCGUUAAGUAGACCGCCUGGGGAGUACGGCCGCAAGGUUAAAACUCAAAUGAAUUGACGGGGGCCCGCACAAGCGGUGGAGCAUGUGGUUUAAUUCGAUGCAACGCGAAGAACCUUACCUGGUCUUGACAUCCACGGAAGUUUUCAGAGAUGAGAAUGUGCCUUCGGGAACCGUGAGACAGGUGCUGCAUGGCUGUC
rnacentral:rRNA from 2 species